rnacentral:rRNA from 1 species
GAUGAACGCUGGCGGCGUGCCUAAUACAUGCAAGUCGAGCGAACAGAUGAGGAGCUUGCUCCUCUGACGUUAGCGGCGGACGGGUGAGUAACACGUGGAUAACCUACCUAUAAGACUGGGAUAACUUCGGGAAACCGGAGCUAAUACCGGAUAAUAUAUUGAACCGCAUGGUUCAAUAGUGAAAGACGGUUUUGCUGUCACUUAUAGAUGGAUCCGCGCCGCAUUAGCUAGUUGGUAAGGUAACGGCUUACCAAGGCAACGAUGCGUAGCCGACCUGAGAGGGUGAUCGGCCACACUGGAACUGAGACACGGUCCAGACUCCUACGGGAGGCAGCAGUAGGGAAUCUUCCGCAAUGGGCGAAAGACUGACGGAGCAACGCCGCGUGAGUGAUGAAGGUAUUCGGAUCGUAAAACUCUGUUAUUAGGGAAGAACAAAUGUGUAAGUAACUAUGCACGUCUUGACGGUACCUAAUCAGAAAGCCACGGCUAACUACGUG